AACGAACGUUGGCGGCGUGGAUUAGGCAUGCAAGUCGAGCGAAUCCCAGCAAUGGGGGAAGCGGCGAAAGGGGCAGUAAGGCAUGGGUAACCUACCCUGGGGACUGGAAUAGCCCUUCGAGAGAAGGGGUAAUACCGGGCGACGAGCAGACAGGGCAUCCUGUUUUCUCCAAAUGAGUUUCGCCCUGGGAGGGGCCCAUGUGAUAUUAGCUAGUUGGUGAGGUAACGGCUCACCAAGGCGAAGAUGUCUAGCGGGUGUGAGAGCACGACCCGCGCCAUUGGCACUGAGAUACUGGCCAAACACCUACGGGUGGCUGCAGUCGAGGAUCUUCGGCAAUGAGCGCAAGCUUGACCGAGCGACGCCGCGUGUGCGAUGAAGGCCUUCGGGUUGUAAAGCACUGUCGAGAGGGAGAAAGGGAAACUUGAUCUAUCUCUGGAGGAAGCACGGGCUAAGUUCGUG
rnacentral:rRNA from 1 species